rnacentral:lncRNA from 1 species
UCAUGCGUGUGCUAGUAUCAGAACAUGUCAAUAGAAUUCAAUCGUUGUCAAUGACACGUCCUAUGUUAUAGUUAUGUAUGUGAAUCUUGAACCUGAUGUAUCAUCGUUGUCUUGUGUAUGGAUUCUUAUGGUAAGCCAUGAUGUUAGGAUUAUGGUGAUGACAAUUGUUGGCCAUAUGAGGCAUGUGAGCAUAAAAUAAGAUAUCUUAUUACUCAUUGAAACUCAUGACGAAGGUUGGGAGGAAAUUAGAAAAGCACAUAUCACUUGGGUCAGUCAUAUGCUAGAAUCAAUGUUUUGAAACCAGACCAGACCCUGAUCCAGGAUAGCUAAAGGAUCAAGUGUCAAAGGGUUUAAUCACG